rnacentral:ncRNA from 1 species
CUAAACUGGCGCCGCCUCGGUGCUCGCGCGUGCGUCGCGCGGUUAAACGGGAAGCAGGGCGCGCGCUCCGCAUGGAGAUCGCCAACCUGCGCUGCCCCCGCAACGGUAAGCGGCCGCGUCGGACGACGCAGGCCGGCUCGGGCGCGUUUCGCGUGCAGGUCGCACGCGGGCGCGGGCCACUGCGCGUGAUUCGCGCGGGAAGGCGAGCCGGUACGCCGCCAGCCCGGAUACCGGCCGAGGCGAGGAGCCUGCAC